UGGUACACUUUGUGAAUCUUGUUCUGC
rnacentral:piRNA from 1 species